CUGUUAAGCUUUAUGGUUUUAUAUUAUUUUUAUUUUCAUUGCGAUUAGAUAUUUUCUGAAGCUUCAUUGUCUUCUAGGACCAAUUUAUCUACCAAGCAGAAAAGGUAAAAAUAAUCUGCUCCUCUAUAACAGCCAUACAUACAGUCGUGGAGUUCUCGGGAACUACUACUGCUCCAAAAGAACCGUGAUGAAGUGUAAAGCAAAGGUGAAAUUGGAUGAAAUGAAUAAUAUUGUACUGGUGGAAGAGGGGAUUCAUAACCACGAACCGCCAGUGUUUCACAUCAGCAACAACGGAGAGGCCCAUCUUUCUAACCACUAGAAGAAACAAGAGGAUUCUCCUAUACCAAGGGUUCACAUACAGCCGCGUCAACCCAGGGCAAUACUGCUGUUCCAAACGCCUCGUGCUUAAGUGUAAAGCAAAAAUGAAGUUGGAUGAAAUUAGUACUGUAAUACUUGAUGAAGAGUUAACGCAUAACCAUCAACCGCCUCUGUUUCACAUUAGCAAAGAUGGAGAGUAUAUACCCAUCACCUAAUUCUUUGCAUGUUCUUUGUAAAAAAAUAUUAUUAAAACGUGUAUAAAGAUCAGGUCAUAUCGGCGUAGGGUUACCAGAUGUCAGGAUCUUACAUAAAUCCAAAACAAAUCAAAUUUAAACAAUGAAUCAAGCUUACAUAGAUAUCGCUUAAUAUAAAUCCAAAACAAAUCAAAUUUAAACAAUGUAUCAAGCUUAGCUGUAGUGAGUUGUGGGCCAAGAUCGCCACAGAGUGGCAGCCCAGCUCAAAACGAGGAUUUGGCAGACCACGUCGGCGAUGGCGAGACGAGUUAGACUCCUUUUUAAAGGAAUGGCCAGAGACUGCACAGGAUCGGGAAGACUGGAAAAAGUGGGGGGAGGCCUUUGCCCAGCAGUGGGACAUUAUAGGCUCCCAAUAAUAA